ACUUUUNAAAGAUAGCAGCUAUCUGUUGGCCUUAGGCGCCAAAUACCUUGGUGCAAUCC
rnacentral:tRNA from 1 species